UAUAUAUAUUGAAGGCUCCUUCAUGCCACUUUCCUCUCUCAUACGAGAGGAUAGGGUGAGUGUGUGAAAGAGAAAGAGAGAUGUGUUAAUUUGAACUUUGAAGGAGCUAUCUUCCUUGUUUCUACUGCAACUGGAGGAGGCAUCCAAAGGGAUCGCAUUGAUCCCAAACUCUCCAUGUCUUUGGAUCAUGCUAUCCCUUUGGAUUCCUCCUUUGGUAGCUUCUUACUUGGGCUGUAACCAUAUCCCACUGCACACACCUCUCAUAAUUAACUCAUCUUAUCAUAUACAGACACAUCCCUCCACAACUCCAUCCCUCCAUCUUCGGCAUUCCCAGAUAUAAAAGACUCUCCCUCGGGCUCAUCAGAGAAGAUCAGACUACGCCAGCAUCUUCCAACAAACUUAAAAUAGAAGUGAGAUUAAAGCUGUACUUCUUCCUUACUUUCAAGCAAACAAUAACUUGUCCUUGGAUGAAGUAUAAGAGGAUCAUUUACAGUAAUUUUUGAAAGGGUAGUGCCUCGGCUGAGGUGGAUACUCAGGACCACUGGAAGAGAGCGGGGCAUUGUCAUUGGUUCUGAAUUCCCAUUAAACUUUUCCCUCCCCUACCAAAUUCAGUACUUGUGUCAACUCUGAUAGAGAGAGAGAGAGAGAGAGAGAACAAACAAGCACUGGCAUGGAUUUCAUUCAAGCUCCAAAGUUGCAAGGUUUUCCUCGAAUUAUCAGCAAUAAUACUUACAUCAUAACUUGUU